UACGUAGGGGGCAAGCGUUGUCCGGAUUUAUUGGGCGUAAAGAGCGUGUAGGCGGCCAGGUAGGUCCGUUGUGAAAACUGGAGGCUUAACCUCCAGCUGUCGAUGGAAACCAUCUGGCUAGAGUCCGGAAGAGGAGAGUGGAAUUCCUGGUGUAGCGGUGAAAUGCGCAGAUAUCAGGAAGAACACCCGUGGCGAAGGCGGGUCUCUGGGCCGUAACUGACGCUGAGGAGCGAAAGCGUGGGGAGCGAACAGG
rnacentral:rRNA from 1 species